UUCAUUUGGAAUGGUAAAUGUUCCAGAUUACACUUCAAUAAGUUACAUAGGCCGAUUGACAACGUUGGGCUAGGCCAAGAUUUUGUUUUAUUAUUAUGCAUUCAGUCUCAGGCAUUUGGCUCAUUUGUUGCUUCCACCUGAGAGAGCCCCUCCCUUGUUUUCUAUUGAACAGGAAGCUUUUUCCCCUAUUUCGCCAUUGCAAAGCCUUUCUAUCAAACUAACCGGAGAAGUUAAGUUACACCACGCUAUCUCACAUUUGCAUGUGAUAUUGACAAAAGUUUCUACAGUGUUUAAUGAGUGUUUGGCGAAUUGGGCACUCACAUUUGAUUAUGUCACAGACUCAUAUUUUAGGUGACGGGCGGUCAUUAAUAUAAGGGAUAAAUGCAUAAUAAAUUGGGUCCUAGCCAGUGUUAUGAUCGACAGACAUUCAAGAGUGGUGCACAGAGAUGGGCAGGGUAGCGGCAUUCAAGGGGAUGUCAUGUAGAAGGCUAGGCAACUUCGAUGGGAAAGGGAAUAAUGGGGAUUAUAUUUGAUUCUAUGAAUAUAUGUUUUGUUUUCUGUUUCAAGUAUGUGAAUCAAUAAAAAGUGUUAAUCUAAAAAAUCAAAGCAAACGAUGAUAGAAAUAUUUUCCAUUUCAGCUGUGUCACGGAAAACUAAAUUCAGCAACUUUUUGCACCGAAUAUUUCAACCACUCACUCAAGUUAUACCAUGAUGCUACAAAUGACCGUUGCUAAUUGUUGCACAUCAAGAAGGAAAAUGUAGUGACUUCACCUGAUUGGUUUUAUACUCACCAAGGUUGGCAGGCUCUCUGGGGCGACCAUAUCAAGCUGGAGGAAGAGGACAGAGAGUCAGGUGCUGGUGUGACAACACCUAGCGAGUUGCUGGAUUUGAUGUUGGGUGGUUGUACUAGCAAUCUACCAUUUGAUUGACUUUUUACUUUUCCUGAUGUCAUAUAUUUUUUAUAUUGAUAUUUUACAUCCAGUUAUUGUCAUCGACAAGUUAACUAUCUUAACUCACUAUCUAGCUCUCAGUUACAGCAUUCAUUUGCAUGCCAGUCAUUAAUAGGCUAUUUGUAAAAAAUGUUUUACUCUAAAUGGCAGAAACGUGCUCUGUGUUUAAUGUGUGUUCAUGUUUAUUCUGUUGGUUCAUGUUUUCUUGUCUUUAAUUCUGAAAAGUCUAGUUCCUGGUUCUUGUCAUGUGAUUUCAUGUUUCCCUCCAUGUUCAUUGUCUUGUUUUCAUUGGUUCAUUGUUUGAUUACUUUGUUAUUAGUUCUAGUUUGUCAAUGGUUUUAGGUUAUUAGUCUUAUCUUGUUUAUAGUUCUGUCUGUUCAUUGGUUGUCUUGUUACCCAUGUCUGUGUAUAUAAGCCCUCAUGUUUGCCACGGUCUCUUGUCAAGGAUUGUUUGUAAGUGUAACUUUAUUGUUUUGUUUAAACAAUGCCAGGUCUAGUUUAUGUCAAGCCAUGUUUAUGUUUAGCCAUGUUUUAGUCAUGUUUAUAUCUAGUUAUUUCUCAUUUAUAGUUAGGGUUUUGGUUUCACGUUUAUUUAAUAAAUCUGCACUAGUGUUCUUCACUCCUUUGUCAUCUUCUUCGUCAUUGCUGGCAGCAGCAACUUCGUUACAGAAUACUUGACCACCAUAAUGAAACCAGCAGUACAGCUCCUCCACCUAUGUCAGAGGAAUUGUCCCCUGGAGGAUUAUGUGGAGGACUUCUGCAAUCUGGCAUACCAGGUGGAUUUUAAUGAGGUGGCUCUCAAGGACCGUAAGAGCCAAUCCCCACUUUGAUGCCUGUCGGUCGCAGUUCCCUCAGCCUGGCUCGUUAUAUUGACUUUGCCCUGCGGAUUACUGAUUUAGGUUCACUGUGGGGGAGGCGGAAGACCACGUCAUGGUUGACGAGCCAGCGUUGCCAACUUUGGCCUGGAGGAGGGCAUUUGUUUCAAAGUCCCUGCCCAUGUAAAGGACCACAGAGGUCGUUUCCAAAUCCCUGCCCAUGUUCACGACCACUGAGGUCUUUUCCAAGUCAUUCAGGACUCUUAGUUUCGAGCCUUCCAUGGCUCUACCUUCCACAACUUUGCGCCACAUCAUGGCCGCCCGAUUUCCAUGUUGCGGCCAUGCCAGAGUCAGCUCCAGUCCAGGCCUUGUCACAAGCAAGCCUCUGCUAAUUGGUCCUGGCCCACCUCUGCUCCACAGUGGACCUCCAUCCCUACUGUUGCACCUUGGACCUCAGCCCCAAUGGCUCCACCCCUCGGGCCUCUCAUGGCCCCACCCCCCACAGGCUCUGCCUUGAUCCCAUGCUCCAUGCCUUGUCAUGCCUGUCAUUGGUUGUAUUGUUACCCAUGUCUGUGUAUAUAAGCCCUCAUGUUUUCCAUUGUCUCUUGUCAAGUAUUGUUUGUGAGUAACUUUGUUUAAACCAUGCCAAGUCUAGUUUGUCAAGCCACGUUUAUGUUUAGCCAUGUUUUAGUCAUGUUCAUUUUUAUGUCUAGUUUAGUUCUCAUUUAUAGUUAGGGUUUUGGUUUCACAUUUAUUUAAUAAAACUGUGCUUGGGUUCUUCACUCCUUCAUCUUUGUCAUUGCCAGCAGCAGCAACUUCGUUACAAUGUGAAAGAGCCUGUAAAUGUUUUUCUUUUUCUCUUGGGUGCAAUACUCAUCCAUGCCACCAUAGGGCAAUAAACAGGGAGUAUUUCACAGAGUUGUCUAGAAAGAAGAGCGAAGAAGAUGCACAAGCAAGUAUUGUUGUAUGUUGAUUUUGUCAAUCCAUCUAAAGUUCUGAUUGAGGAAAGUUCUUUUGUUCAGCCCUUAUAUUUUCUCCAUACCACACGGCGAUCCUGAUUCACCCCUGCAGUGAAAAAAAAGGUGGUUUAUAAAGAGGAACAACACCCAGUGUAACCACUGAAGUUUACUGACAUACUAUUACAAAAAUGAAAUGUGUUAAAGAAGAGUUUAAAGAGGAGAGUGAAGACAUCAGUAUUACAGAAUCAUGCAGAAUGAAACAUGAAGAUACUGAAGAACAAAGAGACUUGAAGUAAAAGAAGAAAGUCAAGAACUGAAUGACAUGGAGAAACACCAUGAUCAUAAAUGUGAUCGAUUCAUGACUGGUGAAGAACCUUUAAGUGGCUCAAAGACUGAAAUUCAUUUUUCACUGAAAAGAACUCGAGGAGCAAGAGCCAAAAAUUCUUUCACCUGCUCUCAGUGUGGCAAGACUUCUGCACAUAAAGCAAAUCUUCUGCAUCACAUGAAAAUUCACACUGGAGAAAAGCCAUACCACUGUACUUCAUGUGGGAAGAGUUUCAGCCAAUCAAGCAAUCUCAAAAUUCAUCUGCACUAUCAUUCUGGAUUGAAACCAUUUAAUUGUGAUCAGUGCAGCAAGAAAUUUACACUGGCAUCACAGCUAAAGUUACACCUGGCAAAUCAUUCUAAUGAGAAACCUCACGUGUGUUCGUUUUGUGGAAAGAGUUUCAAUACAUUAACACACCUGAAAACACAUGUAAGAGUACAUACUGGGGAGAAGCCAUACCUCUGUACUUCAUGUGGGAAGAAUUUCAGCCACUCAAGUAAUCUAAGGACUCAUUUAAAAAAGCGUUGUCCAAAACUGUCAUAUGAGCAAUGUUAACUCUUCAGCUUUCUAACGGACGCCUGAAGGUUUUGUGCCAAAACUGCCUGGUAUUUGGAAUGGUUCAUAAUUCCCUCCACCCUGAAUAAGGCCCCAGUUCCAGCUGAAGAACAGCCCCAAAGCAUGAUGCUACCACCACCAUGCUUCACUGUGGGUAUGGUGUUCUUUGGGUGAUGUGCAGUGUUGUUUUUGCUCCAAACAUACCUUUUGGAAUUAUGGCCAAAAAGUUCAACCUUGGUUUCAUCAGACCAGAACACAUUUUCCCACAUGCUUUUGGGAGACUUGAUGUUUGUUUUUGCAAACUUCAGCCAGGCUUGGAUGUUUUUCUUUGUAAGAAAAGGCUUCUGUCUUGCCACCCUACCCCAUAGCCCAUAUGAAGAAUACGGGAGAUGUAGCACACAGCCAGUACUUGCCAGAAAUUCCUGCAGUUCCUUUAAUGUUUCUGUAGGCCUCUUGGAAGCCUCCCUGACCGGUUUUCUUCUUGUCUUUUCAUCAAUUGUGGAGGGAUGUCCAGUUCUUGGUAAUGUCUCUGUUGUGCCAUAUUUUCUCCACUUGAUGAUGACUGUCUUCACUGUGUUCCAGGAUAUGUUUGCUAAUGCUUUGGAAAUUCUUUUGUACCCUUCUCCUAACUGAUAUCUUUCAACAAUGAGAUCCCUCUGAUGCUUUGGAAACUCUCUGUGGACGAUGGCUUUUGCUCUGAGAUGCAACUAAGAAAAUGUCAGGAAAAUCCUUCUAGAACAGCUGAACUUUAUUUGUGAUUAAUCAGAGUCACUUUAAAUGAUGGCAGGAAAGUUCCAUACAGGCACCCCAUGUAGUGGCAGAUUAGGGCAGAUGACUUCACUUUCCAGACAACUAUCCUUGACCCACUGUUCAUACUUCCAUCCAAAGGAUUUACAUUAUUCUGGAUGGAAGAUUCCACAUUGAUUCCUUGCACAUUUAUUCUCUUUGUUCUGCUUUGCCGUUUUGUGGUCCGUUCUGCAUAGCUCGCCGGCUCAUUUUUGCUUAUUGCGGCCCAUUUCACGGCCGACCAACUGGCCCGCUCGGUUCUCCCGCUGACCAGUACGCCCCAAAGGGCGUCGGCCCACCCGUAAAAUGCCCGGUAUUUCAGAUUGCCAGUCCAGUCCUGUCAGAGACCCCAGUUAUUGAACUAAUUUAAAUUCACCAAGAAAACGCUUAGACCUAAAUGAGUCCUUUUAUUACUUUCUGCUAUCAAAGCAACUGCAAGCUUUUUUCUCUCUUCCAAAUACAGGUUUUCAAUGUUUAUUGUGCACACUGUCAUGUCUAGAUGUGGUUUUGUUCAUGUUUUGUUUUCAUGUCUUUUAUUUUGAAAUUAUAGUUCCUGUUUCAUGUCAUGUGCUUAUAAAUUGAAACAAAAGACACAAACACACGCAUGCUGGUCAGCUGGCCGUAAACAAACUCUCUCUCUCUCGUCGAACCAUCGUCACCGGCCGCCUUUAUCCCUCGCACGCCUCAUCAGGCCGAUUGGGGACCGGGGGCGCGAUAUUCCGACCCGGCCCUGCCCUACUCCGCUCCACACUCCUCCCGGCGUUAUCUCAGGCCGGGGUGCCACCGGCAUGACGUACAUCCCCCCCCAUCCCUGGGGCGGGGUGUAUCUUGCAUCACGUGUGGUCAUCCCCGCCUUCCUUGCCCUGGGAGGAGACAGGAGGGGAAGACAACAACAAAGAAAACUAAAUGAAAAGGCCAACAUGGUGCGACAGAGAGGAGAGAGAGAGAAAAAGCUUACUCACCGGUUCUCUGAUGUACCGUCGCGUGGUACUCGAACACUCCUCCAAACUCAGGCAGACGAAAGCCGCUCCAACCCCGGGUGAACCAGAGUCAAACCUUUGACCCCCAGCGGGCAGAACGCCCCUCCACUUUUCUGGCAGCAAAUUGGGACACUCCUCUGCCCCUGGCAGCGGCCCUACCGCUCCGGGCGGUCGGGGAAUUUCUUCCCUCAUCCCCUCGCGGACGGCGGUCUCCCUCGACCCCUCCGCGUCUCUGGGGAUGGCAGGGCACUCCUCCGCCCCCGGCAGCGGCUCCCUCGCUCCAGGCGGUCGGGGUAUCCAGUCCCGACUUGCCCCGCGGAUGACGGCCGUUCCCCACAUCCGGGCGGUCGGGCUACUCCGUCACCCGGCAGAUGGCAGCGGCGCACCCCUGGGUGGACGGCAGUGUCGAGGACUCUGCGACAGGCAUCCCUCCUCCUUCCCAGGUUUCGGCACCAAUGUAACACAGUUAAAGUAUGGGCAAGGAGGAGGCGAGAACCGGCUUGUCACCAUAAAUAAUAAUUUAAUGAGAACUUAAACCAAAAGCACAAACAUAAACAAACACACACACGACGGACAUGCCCGUAAUUCUCUCUCUCUCUCGAAUCAUCGUCACCGGCCGCCUUUAUCCCUCGCGCGCCUCAUCAGGCCGAUUGGGGACCGGCGCGCAAUAUUCCGACCCGGCCCCGCCCCCCUCCGCUCCACAUAUUGUUAUCUUGUUUAUAGUUGUGUCUGUUUAUUGGUUUUCUUGUUAUUGUUUUACCCUAUGUCUGUGUAUUUAAGCCAACAUGUUUGCCAUUGUCUCUUGACAAGUAUGGUUAAUGUACCACUGUUGUAUUUUUCAAGUCAAGCUAUAGUCAAGUCAAGGUUAAGUCAAGUCAAGUCAUGUUAUGUCAAGUCUAGUUCAUGUUUAUGUUCAUGUUUUUAGUUAGGGUUUUUGGAGUACAUGUUUGGUAAAUAAACUGAACUUGGAUUCUUCAUCUUCAUGUAAUUGUCUUCAUCAUUUCCAGUGCUAGCACAUUGUUACACACACCUCCCCACUUGUUUUA